rnacentral:rRNA from 1 species
AGAGUUUGAUCCUGGCUCAGAACGAACGUUAGCGGCGCGUUUUAUGCAUGCAAGUCGAGCGGUGCGGGGCUUCGGUCCCGCAUAGCGGCGGACUGGUGAGUAACACGUGGAUAAUCUGCCUUGCAGUCGGGAAUAUCCCAUGGAAACAUGGUGCAAUACCGGAUACGAACGUCGGCGCACAAGCGCUGGCGAGGAAAGGGGCCAAGGCCCUGCUGCGAGAUGAGUCCGCGUCCCAUUAGCUAGAUGGCGGGGUAAAGGCCCACCAUGGCUGUGAUGGGUAGCCGGCCUGAGAGGGUGAACGGCCACAUUGGGACUGAGAUACGGCCCAGACUUCUACGGGAGGCAGCAGCAAAGAAUCUUCCGCAAUGGACGAAAGUCUGACGGAGCGACGCCGCGUGAGCGAUGAAGGCCGCAAGGUUGUAAAGCUCUUUUCGGGGGGAAGAAUAAUGCCGGCAGGGAAUGGCCGGCGGAUGACAUCAACCCCGGAAUAAGGUCCGGCUAACUACGUGCCAGCAGCCGCGGUAACACGUAGGGACCUAACGUUGUUCGGAAUUAUUGGGCGUAAAGGGCGCGCAGGCGGCCGCUCAAGUCUGGUGUUAAAUGGUCGGGCUCAACCCGAUCAUGCGCUGGAAACUGGGUGGCUUGAGUUCAGGAGGGGAUGCCGGAAUUCCAGGUGUAGGGGUGAAAUCUGUAGAUAUCUGGAAGAACACCGAUGGCGAAGGCAGGCAUCUGGCCAUGAACUGACGCUGAGGCGCGAAGGUGCGGGGAGCAAACAGGUUUAGAUACCCUGGUAGUCCGCACAGUAAACGAUGUGCACCAGGAGUCGGGCAGCAGUGUCCGGUUCCGUAGCAAACGCAAUGAGUGCACCGCCUGGGGAGUAUGCUCGCAAGGGUGAAACUCAAAGGAAU